GCAGAUUUCCGGUUGAUCCUGCCGGACCUGACUGCUAUCGGAUUAAUACAAAGCCAUGCGAGUUUUUGUAGUAAUACAAGGCAUACGGCUCAGUAACACGUAGUCAACCUACCCUAUGGACGAGGAUAAUCUCGGGAAACUGAGCAUAAUACUCGAUAGAUCAUAAUGCCUGGAAUGGUUUAUGGUUGAAAUGAUUCGUUCGCCAUAGGAUGGGACUGCGGCCUAUCAGCUUGUUGGUGAGGUAAUGGCCCACCAAGGCGAUUACAGGUACGGGCUCUGAGAGGAGAAGCCCGGAGAUGGGUACUGAGACACGGACCCAGGCCCUAUGGGGCGCAGCAGGCGAGAAAACUUUGCAAUGUGCGAAAGCACGACAAGGUUAGUCCGAGUGAUUUCUGCUAAAGAAAUCUUUUGCAAGUCGUAUUACCACUAGUGAAUAAGGGGUGGGCAAGUUCUGGUGUCAGCCGCCGCGGUAAAACCAGCACCUCAAGUGGUCAGGAGGAUUAUUGGGCCUAAAGCAUCCGUAGCCGGCUCUGUUAGUUUUCGGUUAAAUCCAUGCGCUCAACGUAUGGGCUGCCGAGAAUACUGCAUAGCUAGGGAGUGGGAGAGGUAGACGGUACUCGGUAGGAAGGGGUAAAAUCCUUUGAUCUAUCGAUGACCACCUGUGGCGAAGGCGGUCUACCAGAACACGUUCGACGGUGAGGGAUGAAAGCUGGGGGAGCAAACCGGAUUAGAUACCCGGGUAGUCCCAGCUGUAAACGAUGCAGACUAGAUGAUGCAUUAGCAUAUAGCU
rnacentral:rRNA from 2 species